rnacentral:rRNA from 1 species
GCAGCCGCCGCGGGAAUACAGAGGGUGCGAGCGUUAAUCGGAUUUACUGGGCGUAAAGCGUGCGUAGGCGGCUAAUUGAGUCGGAUGUGAAAUCCCCGAGCUUAACUUGGGAAUUGCAUUCGAUACUGGUUAGCUAGAGUGUGGGAGAGGAUGGUAGAAUUCCAGGUGUAGCGGUGAAAUGCGUAGAGAUCUGGAGGAAUACCGAUGGCGAAGGCAGCCAUCUGGCCUAACACUGACGCUGAGGUACGAAAGCAUGGGGAGCAAACAGGAUUAGAUACCCGUGUAGUCCCUGUCUCUUAUAC